CCACACCCUCAUUUGACUAUUCCUCCGUGUAUCUGUGCUUCUGUGAAACAGCUCGCCAUGGCGAUGCCCAUUGUUCUCAACUCCCUAACUUUCUUAUGUGUGCUUGCAGUUCUUGUUGCAGGUCAGGCUGAAGGGCGACAUCAAGACCCUGAUUGUCCUUCAUUCUCGUGCGGCCCUCUUAGAAAUGUAUCGUCCCCAUUUCUUCAGGCAAGUGAUCCACCUGGGUGUGGUUACGAUCUUAUGAGCUAAUUUGCAGUGAUGCAAAGGCUGCAAUUCGCAUCGACGAUGCAACAUACUAUGUAUCUUCCAUCAACUACAGUGAUUCUUCCUUCUGGGUCGUCGCUGCCGACAUGGGUUUAUACAACAGCUGCCCUCUACCUCGGUGGAAUCGGCCGCCCUUUAGAUACCAUGACGGCAUGGAAGUCGAAUUGGACCCCCGUUCAAGUUGGCAGGCUUGCUUUCUUAAAUGCUCUCGGGAAGUCAAGAAUAAUGCUAUGUACAUACCUGUUGCUUGCCUUAGCACCAAUGAUACCUAUGUUUAUGUGUUAACUGGUUAUGGAUCUAUUUUAAUGGAGUAUCUCGAGCCUUCUUGUGGGUACUUGGCUAUGAUUCCUUGGCCUUGGGACAGUCCGGGGCCUUGGUGCAACAAGCCGCUAGAAAAUGCAAGUUAUGCAGAUGUUGUGAAAUCCAUGAGGAUUGGAUUUGCUGUUCGAUUCCCUUUCAGAUAUUCCAGGAGGAGCACAAGCAUCAAAGAGUGCCUAAUACGCCAGUUUCGCGACUUGCCGGGAGUGUGUAGUGAUGGCGCCAUCAAUUGUAUUCUGGCAAUUCUUUUGGUCGAUGGAGUCUUCUGGGAGUGCUCACUGCGUGUAACUGCAUUUGCUUAUCCUGCCUUAUCAUUCAUACCAUUCGCCUUCUUCUGUGUGAAGUGGCUAGCUGUGCUAUGCAGGUUCGUGUUGGCACCGCUGGCUGUGUUGAUCUUCCUCGCCCACAAGUAUUGGAAAACGAGGAUCACAAUCGAUGCUGUCGAGAAGUUCCUCCGAAUGCAACAAAUGCUAGGUCCAAUGAGGUAUGCCUACACUGACAUCACAGCAAUCACAAGCCAUUUCAGAGAUAAGCUGGGUCAGGGAGGCUACGGGUCUGUGUUCAAGGGUGUGCUAUUGCCAGGCAAUGUUCAUGUUGCUGUCAAGAUGCUAGAGGGCAAUCCUAAUUGCAAUGGAGAAGAUUUCAUCAAUGAAGUCUCAACUAUCGGUAGGAUCCAUCACGUUAACGUGGUGCGCCUCAUGGGAUUCUGCUCAGAGGAAAUGAGGAGAGCACUGGUUUACGAGUACAUGCCUCAAGGUUCUCUGGACAAGUACAUCUUCUCAUCCGGGAAGAGUUUUUGCUGGGACAAGCUCGCCGAGAUAGCUUUGGGCAUUGCAAGGGGGAUCGACUACCUUCAUCAGGGUUGUGACAUGCAGAUUCUGCACUUUGACAUCAAGCCACAUAACAUCCUUCUCGACAACAAUUUUGUCCCCAAAGUUGCUGAUUUUGGUCUCGCGAAACUAUACCCAAGGGACAACAGCUUUGUGCCAUCGAGAGCCCUACGGGGAACAAUUGGGUACAUAGCUCCUGAGAUGAUAUCUCGUAGCUUCGGCGCCAUAUCGAGCAAGUCUGAUGUUUACAGCUUUGGGAUGCUGCUGCUAGAGAUGGCCGGAGGAAGAAGGAAUGCUGAUCCAAAUGCGGCAAACACGAGCCAAGCGUACUAUCCGUCGUGGGUGUAUGACCGGCUAACUCAACAAGAUCAUGUGGGUGAGAUAUUUGCUCAUGUUUAUACUGAGAUGCAUGAGUUGGAGAGGAAGCUGUGCAUUGUUGGACUAUGGUGCAUUCAAAUGAGGUGUCAAGAUCGACCGACGAUGAGUGAUGUCAUAGAGAUGCUGGAAGGUGGCAUCCAUAGCUUGCAAAUGCCUUCGAGGCCAUUCUUCUGUGAUGAAGGGCACAACCAUGCCGAGGAUACUUACCAUUUGUCGUCCGAGCUGACUGAAAUCUCCGAGGACAUGAGUGAAAAUAUUGAUGUGUGAUGCAAUGCACGGGAUGAUGCGCUUAGCUCAUAAAAAUAUUGAAAUAAUGGUUGAAUAGUUGUAUCGAGCAUGUACUUGUAGGUGGAAUCAUGUAAUAGCUAGCAGAGCAGCAGAACCUGUGUGCUGCUUUGUGUUUUCUUUUAUUGCCCAAACCUUUGUGCUGGGACUCCAGUUUUCCUUGGAUGUAUUUCAUGAUGAAGCUGGUUGGUGUCGCCUAAAAA